GACGAACGCUGGCGGCGCGCUUAACGCAUGCAAGUCGAGCGAUAACCAUGGCUUCGGCCAUGGGGAGAGCGGCGAACGGGUGAGUAACACGUGAGCGAUCUGCCCUCGACACCGGGAUAGCCCGGGGAAACCCGGAUUAAUACCGGAUGGCCUCUCGAGCCCACGGGCUCGUUAGAAAAGAUGGCUUCGGCUUUCGGUCGAGGAGGAGCUUGCGGCGGAUUAGCUUGUUGGUGGGGUAACGGCUCACCAAGGCGACGAUCCGUAGCUGGUCUGAGAGGACGAUCAGCCACACUGGGACUGAGACACGGCCCAGACUCCUACGGGAGGCAGCAGUGGGGAAGCUUGCGCAAUGGGCGAAAGCCUGAUGCAGCGACGCCGCGUGAGGGAAGAAGGCCUUCGGGUUGUAAACCUCUUUCAGGAGGGACGAAGCCACUCGGGUUAAUACCCCAGAGGGUGACGGUACCUCCAGAAGAAGCCCCGGCUAACUACGUGCCAGCCGCCGCCGUAACAC
rnacentral:rRNA from 1 species